AUGCCCAAGCGCACCAUGGGAGGGAGGGCCGACGCCGGGGCCGACGAUAUGGCGCAAGAAGCAUCCAAGCGCCGGGCGAAGCUGCACAUGGAGAAACCCCUCCCCACCGGCGAGGUGUCCAGCCGGCAGCAGGGCGGCCUUGACGUCAUCGACCACAUCCAGGCUCCGGUGCAGGUGUCACCUACACCGGAGCAGGUGGCUCCUCCGCUGGAGCAGGUGACUCAUCUGCCUCCUCUGCCACGCCAUCUGCCUCCUCUGCUGUAG
rnacentral:rRNA from 1 species